rnacentral:rRNA from 1 species
UACGUAGGUGGCAAGCGUUGCCCGGAUUUAUUGGGUUUAAAGGGUGCGUAGGCGGUCAUGUAAGUCAGUGCUGAAAUAUCCCGGCUUAACCGGGAGGGUGGCAUUGAUACUGUAUGACUUGAGUAAAGUUGAGGUUGGCGGAAUUGACGGUGUAGCGGUGAAAUGCUUAGAUAUCGUCAAGAACACCUAUUGCGAAGGCAGCUAACUAAGCUUUAACUGACGCUGAGGCACGAAAGUGUGGGGAUCAAACAGG